GAAAUACUUGCACAAAAACCUCGAGAAAGCGUUCCUGGAAAUCUUGGCCCAAAAAAGGACGUUUAGUAAUUCUAAAAGGGACUACAAGAUGAAAAAUAAUAGUUUUGCCAGUUAAAGUUUGAGAUUCGAUGGUGUCGUAGAUCCGUUUGGUCAUCAGGUGUUACGAGCCACACCCAUGUCUAGCUAGAAUAGUGUGUCAGGCUCAGGCUGGAGAAGAAACAGGGUACAAACUGAUGAAAGAAUUAUCAUACUGAGGGAAUUCACUCAGAACUAACAAGAAUGAUAACGUGCUCCGACUGGAGCGGUUUAGGAACUGCUGGAAAGGUCUAGGGGAAUAAAGAUGGAAUGACUUCUAAUUUUUAGGUCCGUAUGGUUUGAAAUACUUGCACACAAACCGCACGAAAGCAUUCCUAGAAAUCUCGGCCCAAAAAAUGACGUUUAGUAAUUCUAAAUGGGACUAUAGGAUGAAAAACAAUAGUUUUGGCAGUUAAAGUUUGAGAUUCGAUGGUGCCGUAGAUCCGUUUGGUCAUCAGGUGUUACGAGCCACACCCAUGUCUAGCUAGAAUAGUGUGUCAGGCUCAGGCUAGAGAAGAAACGGGGAACAAACUGAUGAAAGAAUUAUCAUAACGAGGGAAUUCACUCAGAACUAACAAGAAUGAUAACGUGCUCCGACUGGAGCGGUUUAGGAACUGCUGGAAGGCUCUAGGGGAAUAAAGAUGGAAUGACUUCUAAUUUUUAGGUCCGUAUGAUUUGAAAUACUUGCACACAAACCCCGAGAAAGCGUUCCUGGAAAUCUCGGCCCAAGAAAGGACGUUUAGUAAUUCUAAAAGGGACUACAGGAUGAAAAACAAUAGUUUUGGCAGUUAAAGUUUGAGAUUCGAUGGUGCCGUAGAUCCGUUUGGUCAUCAGGUGUUACGAGCCACACCCAUGUCUAGCUUGAAUAGUGUGUCAGGCUCAGGAUAUAGAAGAAACAGGGAACAAACUGAUGAAAGAAUUAUCAUACCGAGGGAAUUCACUCAGAACUAACAAGAGUGAUAACAUGCUCCGACGGGAGCGGUUUAAGAACUGCUGGAUGGCUCUAGGGGAAUAAAGAUGGAAUGACUUCUAAUUUCUAGGUCAGUAUGGUUUGAAAUACUUGCACACAAACCGCACGAAAGCGUUCCUGGAAAUCUCGGCCCAAAAGAGGACGUUUAGCAAUU
rnacentral:lncRNA from 1 species